CAUGUCCUUUUGAUUAUAAUUUAAGGUCUGAUCUGCUCCAUGAGGUUUAAAUAGCCGCAGUAUUUUGACUGUGCAAAGGUAGCAUAAUAAUUAGUUCUUUGAUUAAGAGCUGGAAUGAAUGAUUUGACAAGAAAAUUUCUGUCUCUUUCUUAUAAUUAUUGAAUUUUAUUUUUAAGUGAAAAAGCUUAAAUUUUUAUAAAAGACGAGAAGACCCUAUAGAGUUUAAUAUUUAUAUUUAAAUUAAGUUUAGAAUUUUAUUUGUAUAUAUUUAUUUGGUUGGGGUGAUUUAAGGAUAAAAUUAAUUCUUUAAUUAGUUAAUUGAUGAUUAUUAAAUUUAAAAUCUAUUGUUUAUAAGGCUAAAAUAAAUUACCUUAGGGAUAACAGCGUAAUUUUUCUUUAGAGCUCUAAUCGUAAGAAAAGUUUGCGACCUCGAUGUUGGAUUAAAAUUAAUUUUUGGUGCAGUAACUUAAAAAUUAGGUCUGUUCGACCUUUAAAAUUUUACAUGAUCUGAGUUUAAACCGGUGUAAACCAGGUUGGAUUCUAUCUUUAGAAAGAUAAUAUAUUUUAGUACGAAAGGACCAAAUAUAUAUUAAAUUAAUAG
rnacentral:rRNA from 1 species